rnacentral:rRNA from 1 species
UACGGAGGGUGCGAGCGUUAAUCGGAAUUACUGGGCGUAAAGGGUGCGUAGGUGGUUAAUUAAGUUAUGUGUUAAAGACCCGGGCUUAACCUGGGGGUUACAUAUAAGACUGGAUAGCUAGAGUAUGGGAGAGGGUAGUGGAAUUUCCGGUGUAGCGGUGAAAUGCGUAGAGAUCGGAAGGAACACCGGUGGCGAAGGCGGCUACCUGGCCUAAUACUGACACUGAGGCACGAAAGCAUGGGGAGCAAACAGG